GGGAAUACGCAUCACAACAGCCACAAGUUAGCGAGGUGAGGUAGUGGAAAUGCUUAACCAAAGUCUGGUUGCUGUAAUCGUCUGGAGGAGGGUCAGUAAUCUGCAGUUCAAACCAUGCAAGACAGAAGUGCUCCCUGAACUACUGAAUAAAAUCUUUCGGAGCUCCUGGAGCAUGAGGAAACUGCCAGAGGCCUAGAAAAGCGCUGAUAUGGUCCUAAUCUUCAAAAAGGAGAGAAAUUGGACUCGGGAAACUACAGAACAAUCAGCUUGACAUCAAUACCUGGGAAAAUUUCGGAAAAGAAAACCAAGCAGCAGAUUUGUGAGCAUCUGGAAAUGAACAAGGCAAACCAUCUAUCUUCCUGAAGCAGGCAUUGUUUUUGCAGUGAUACUGGAUCCUCAACCCUUAUCAUAGCAUUCUGCACAAGAUGUCAUAUUUGUCUUUCCUUUAUAAUGCUUCCACUGAAACAAUGUUAGCAAUUUGUGUUUUAAAAGGAUUCAUAUGGAGAAUUUUGCAGUGGGUCCGUUGUGAGACUUCCCGGUGAUAGCACUUCAGAGAUCUUUUUAUUUCUAUAUUAUUUUCUGUGUAAAGAAUCUGAUGAGCCAUGGAAACAUCCUACUGUCAUGUUCACCU